GCGGUAAGACGUGUAUCGAUCGGUUGCCGGACCGUCUUCGUGCACCAAUUGGAGUCCUAAGGAGGUUGUGACUGGGCCCUUGCCCACUCUACAUAGUGUCGAGCAGCGCAGCGACCCAAGUGGAUAGAAAGACGAAAAGGAAGCAGAAGAAAACGAUCUUUCAUCUUUGGUCGGUGACCAAUGAGUUGGUUGGUUCGGAGAUGAAGAAAAGUAAACCUUCGAGUUUUUCAUUAUUCAUGGUGUGACGGGAAAAAUAGCAAAUCAACGUUGAGGUCAGUGUAUGCAAUAAGCAACCGCAAAAGGCGGAGAGCAGAAAGAAGAUUGUGCAACGUAAUCGGGCUUCGUAGUGUCCAAGAUUGAUACUAGUGUUUGUAAGUUGUUUGUAGCUUGAAAAGGUCCAACUGGGUGGAUGAAAAUGUUCACGCUGGGGGUUUGAAGUGACUCCUAGGGGUAAGGAUGAUUAUUUCAUAAUUGAAGAAACCGUGAAAUCAUCCGCAAAUCGAAUGCGUCAUCACUAUUUGAAGUGCUAGGUGUUCUCAAGGAAUCCA